GUUAUACUUUUAGCUAGUGUAAUAAAACACACAUAUUUGUAUUCAGAAAUGUCUCAUGAGUACAACCGCACCCCCCAUAUAUAGGUUUUAUGAUGUUUUGGAAAUUAAAGGGUCAAAUAUAGCACUUUCAACAUUUCAGGUUAUAUACAUUGAAAUUUGCCAGAUUGCUUUGCCGGGCCUAUGUUGCCUUUGAGACUUUACUGUAGUUCAGGAAUGAAAAUCACCCCCAUCAUGGCAUAGCAUUUGCAAAAGUAGACAACCCAGGGUGUUCAAAAUGGAGUAUGUCCAGUAUAUUUUAGUAGCCACUUAGUCAGAAUCCCUGGCCAAAGUUAACUUGCAUAUUUUAUUUUUCACAUAAAAACAGCUCUUUCACGG